rnacentral:rRNA from 1 species
UGGGGAAUUUUGGACAAUGGGCGAAAGCCUGAUCCAGCAAUGCCGCGUGUGUGAAGAAGGCCUUCGGGUUGUAAAGCACUUUUGUCCGGAAAGAAAUCCUUGGCUCUAAUACAGUCGGGGGAUGACGGUACCGGAAGAAUAAGCACCGGCUAACUACGUGCCAGCAGCCGCGGUAAUACGUAGGGUGCAAGCGUUAAUCGGAAUUACUGGGCGUAAAGCGUGCGCAGGCGGUUUGCUAAGACCGAUGUGAAAUCCCCGGGCUCAACCUGGGAACUGCAUUGGUGACUGGCAGGCUAGAGUAUGGCAGAGGGGGGUAGAAUUCCACGUGUAGCAGUGAAAUGCGUAGAGAUGUGGAGGAAUACCGAUGGCGAAGGCAGCCCCCUGGGCCAAUACUGACGCUCAUGCACGAAAGCGUGGGGAGCAAACAGGAUUAGAUACCCUGGUAGUCCACGCCCUAAACGAUGUCAACUAGUUGUUGGGGAUUCAUUUCCUUAGUAACGUAGCUAACGCGUGAAGUUGACCGCCUGGGGAGUACGGUCGCAAGAUUAAAACUCAAAUGAAUUGACGGGGUCAUAA